UUCUAAGUGACUGACUGAGUGCAAGAUAAAUCUGCCCUGAAGAGAAAUGCAUAGGAGAAAUCGUGUAAAGCUUACAACAUGGAUAAGAGGCAGAGCCACAGAUGGAAGGAGCCUGGAUCCCUGAGUUAAAGCUUAGAAGAAACUCCCUGGGAGAGCCAACAUCAGAAUGGGACAUGGGUUCAAGCCCUGGUCCGGGAAAAUCCCACAUGCCUCAGAGCAACUAAGCCUGUGUGCCGCAACUACUGAGCCUGUGCUCUAGAGCCCGUGAGCCGCAACUAUUGAGCCCGCAUGCCACAACUAUACUGAAGCCUGUGCUCUGCAGCAAGAGAAGCCACUGCACUGAGAAGCCUGAACAUCCACAAUGAAGAGUAGCCCCUGCUCGCCACAACUAGAUGAUAAGGAAACCGAGGCCUCGAGAACUUCAGCAACGCUCCCAUGGUUGGAUCCUUUGCAACGGCCAGCAGAGUGUUAGGCAUAUGACAAUGUGCUCAAAAAAUUCCCAUUAUAUGGAUGAAAAAAUGAGAAAUAAAAAUCAG